rnacentral:rRNA from 1 species
AUACAGAGGGUGCAAGCGUUAAUCGGAUUUACUGGGCGUAAAGCGCGCGUAGGCGGCUAAUUAAGUCAAAUGUGAAAUCCCCGAGCUUAACUUGGGAAUUGCAUUCGAUACUGGUUAGCUAGAGUGUGGGAGAGGAUGGUAGAAUUCCAGGUGUAGCGGUGAAAUGCGUAGAGAUCUGGAGGAAUACCGAUGGCGAAGGCAGCCAUCUGGCCUAACACUGACGCUGAGGUGCGAAAACAUGGGGAGCAAACAGGAUUAGAUACCCGAGUAGUCC